UACGGGGGGCAAGCGUUGUUCGGAAUUACUGGGCGUAAAGGGCGCGUAGGCGGCCUUCUAAGUCAGACGUGAAAUCCCUCGGCUCAACCGAGGAACUGCGUCUGAUACUGGAAGGCUUGAAUCCGGGAGAGGGAUGUGGAAUUCCAGGUGGUAGCGGUGAAAUGCGUAGAUAUCUGGAGGAACACCGGUGGCGAAGGCGGCAUCCUGGACCGGUAUUGACGCUGAGGCGCGAAAGCCAGGGGAGCGAACGGG
rnacentral:rRNA from 1 species